GGGGGCAUGGCUCAAGUUUUAGGGCAUCUGCCUAGGAAGUGAAAGACCCUGAGUUCAAAUCCCAGUACUUCCU
rnacentral:tRNA from 1 species